GCGGGCUCUCAGCUCCCAGCGACACUCGGUCCCUCCACUUCGCAGCCCCUUUUUCGGUGCCGGGCAAACCCGCUUUUCCCCGGGCUCCGCUCCUCCCGCAGCGCUCCAUGGCUGAACCGCCUUUGCCCUUCGCUGGGGCAGCAUCUCCCUCCUCCUCCUCCUCCUCCUCCUCUUCCUCCUCCGGCACAGGACAUGUCUAAGAGCUCCGCGGCACUUUUAGUUUGCUCCCCCCCGCGCUCGGUGGGAUUAAUCUCUCCUUUUGGAGGUUAUUUUCGGCAACCAGCCUUGCGGGCGGGCAGAGCGGUCGGAGGACGAGCCGGGCGCUCCCGGAGCGGCAGAGGAGGUUCGGCGGAGCGGGAGUGAACGGGGGGCGCAGCCCAGGGACCCCCGCGGAGGAGCGGAGCUGCCCCGUCCCCGCCUGCCCGCAUGGCCCCCGGGCACCGGAGAGACUGUGGGGGCUGCUGCUGCUGAGCAACAACACAUCGCUUUAAACUAAGCCUCAACUUGUCACGGCGAGCAAGGAUGGCAACGCCACUGGAGCUUUGGAGCUGCCAAAAGAGCCGGGGAACCUGGGUUCUGUUCGCCACCGUCUAAUAAAUGGGAGUAAAAUGGAAUUUCUUACCUGGGUUUUUCCUGCCUUGGUUCUACUGUGCACCCAACAGCACAGGUGUAUCAGAGCGAUGAAUGACAUCGGCGAUUACAUAGGUUCCAACAUCGAAAUAUCCUGGUUACCCAACCUGGAUGAUUUAAUGAAAGGGUACGCACGGAAUUUCAGGCCUGGGAUUGGAGGUCCUCCUGUUAAUGUUGCUCUUGCAAUUGAAGUAGCCAGCAUUGACCACAUCUCAGAAGUGAACAUGGAAUAUACCAUGACGGUAUUUUUGCACCAGAGCUGGCGAGAUGACCGUCUGUCUUACAACCACACCAAUGAAACUUUGGGCUUAGACAGCCGCUUUGUGGACAAGCUCUGGUUGCCAGAUACUUUUAUAGUAAAUGCCAAGUCUGCCUGGUUCCAUGACGUGACUGUGGAAAACAAACUUAUCAGGCUCCAGCCAGAUGGAGUCAUUUUGUACAGCAUCAGGAUUACCUCAACAGUGGCCUGUGACAUGGACCUUUCCAAGUAUCCGAUGGAUGAGCAAGAAUGCAUGUUGGACUUGGAGAGCUAUGGCUAUUCUUCAGAGGACAUCGUCUACCACUGGUCAGAAAACCAGGAGGAGAUCCACGGGCUGGAUAAGCUGCAGCUUGCUCAGUUCACAAUUACCAAUUACCAGUUCACAACAGAAAUGAUGAACUUCAAAUCUGCAGGUCAAUUUCCCAGGCUCAGUCUCCACUUCCACCUUCGGCGAAAUCGAGGAGUUUACAUCAUUCAGUCUUAUGUUCCUUCUAUCUUACUGGUGGCCAUGUCGUGGGUGUCCUUCUGGAUCAGUCAGUCAGCUGUGCCUGCCAGAGUGUCGUUAGGUAUAACCACUGUUCUUACUAUGACUACACUGAUGGUCAGUGCCCGAUCUUCACUUCCACGAGCAUCUGCCAUCAAAGCGCUUGAUGUUUACUUCUGGAUUUGCUAUGUGUUUGUCUUUGCUGCACUGGUGGAAUAUGCAUUUGCACAUUUCAAUGCUGACUACAUGAAAAAGCAAAAGAACAAGCUAAAGGCGAGAAGGCAGAGCGCAGAGGUAAACGUGAAGAAUGCCAUCGUUCUGUUCUCCCUUUCCAUAGCUGGUGUGAACCAGGGACUGGCCGUUUCCAACAGGCAGCACCGAAUUCCCCGAAGCCUGCCUGGAUCAUAUGGCACAAUAGAAAUAGAAACGGGAGAGACAAAACAGCCGCAAAUAAUGAAACUGGACAAAAAGGGUGGUCUCAAGUCCCUCUUUAAGCCCAUUGAUGCUGAUACCAUUGAUAUAUACGCCAGAGCCGUGUUCCCAGCAGCCUUUGCAGCAGUCAAUGUUAUAUACUGGGUUGCGUACACAAUGUAAGAAAGGAAAAAAAAAAAAAAGAAGGAAAAUUCACGUGAAGAGCUACAAAUUGAACAAUACCUACAGACUAAAAAGCCCUUGCUGAAACUGUAUUGAUCCAUCUCUUCUCAAAACAUUUUCCAAUGAGCUCGAGGCAUUUCUAAAGUCAAGACAGUCCUGCAAUCCCUACUAAAAGCAGCGAUUUAUUACAGAUCUGAUUUGUUGCAGUAAUAACUGUACUCUGCCAAACAAUCCCAGCUCCUUAUUUCCUGUAUUACCAUGAGACAAUUUUUCAUAUGUACAUAUUUGCAGCAAAAGUUUAAAUCUUAAAUUACCAUGGUUUUCCUCCACUUCAAAGGUUGAUCAGUAAUGAAGAUUUGGCUUUUCACACUCAGAUAAUUUCCUUUUUUGUAAUGGAAGAGCUAAUUCCUCACUUGCUCACAAGUGAUUUUCUGCAUCUGGCCUUCUGUGGGAUGAUCUAAGUUUAAUAGUAUUGGUAAAGUUGGAGUUUUUAAUCACAAAAAUCUCACGAACAAAGUAAAAGGGAAUAGAAGGGAGUGGGGGCUUUUUCUUAAAUUAUUAUUUGUCUUGGAUAAAAUUGAAAACAUUUCAAUGCUCUUAGUCAUAGCAUGAAAUAAAAUAUACUACAUAAAAUUCUACUGAAUUGUUAAUAAUGACUGUAUUGCAUUUCAGACCUAAACUAAUGAAAGUUUCAACACUUAAAACACAGCAAACAUUUAUUAGUUUAAUAGGCUCAAAAAUAGACAAAAGUGAUUUAGAAACAGAGGCAAAGCUCAGGCUUUCUAUGUUGGAUUGGGAAAAAUUUUAAAGGUGCUUGAUAAUGAAGGAACUCAGGCUCCAUUUUCAGGAAGAGCUUUAGAAUUCCUUCUGUUAAUUUUCAGUGAGAGUCUACCAUGUGCGCCUCUGAAAAUAUCCUUUUUGCAUCUGUCCCUAAAUAGCUGAGUGAAGUAAAAAAAAAAAAAGAAGUCAUAAAUGGCUUCAAGUUACUCAGUUGCUUUGGAUAUUUUUGCCAUCUUUAUUCAGAGUCUGACCUAAUAUGUUAGGCCUUUUUAAUUCCAUUAUUUGGCAAUGAAAUUUGUGGGUACUCAUACACGCUCCUUAAUUCAGGACUAGAUCCUCUCACCCAACUCACGCAAAAUAACACUUUGUUCUGUAAAUAAUUCUGGUGAACUCAGCAACUGAAUGCAAUAAUCACAACAAAUACCAGUUUCAUAAUUAAUCUCUAAAAACCUCCACAGCAAAUACGUUGGUAUAUGUAUUAAAACAAUUAAAAUAUUGUUACCGCAGAAAACCAAUGUAAGACACUUCAAAAGGGAAUUUUUUUUUUGGAGGAUUUUGUUGCCUUGAAAGCGAGAGGUUGUUUCAAAUAUAGAGACUGACACAAAAGAAAACAUGAAAUGAGAGAGAGAGGGAAGGAAGGAAGCAGAGCAAGUGGCUGAAAGCUACGAUGGAAGGGGACGUGGGGAGGUAUGAGAUUAAACCAGGCAGAAGAUGUAGAUAAGAGAGGAGCUGUGCUGGGCUUUGAAGAUGGGGAUCUUGAACGUAGUGGCAACGAUUAAUAGUUGCAAUUGCAAUAAGGAUGAAACAAGCUUUUGAUCACAGUGGAGUGUGCACAUUCUCCUGCCUUACUUAUCUGUGACAUAUGGUUUGAUUUCAUCUGAGUAGCACUGAAAGAUAGAGCAUUUUAACACAGAUUUAUAACUUAAAAUAAGAGUCGUUCGAUAUCACUCAAAAGAAUGAUCUUGAACUGAGCUAUAAUAGAAAAUAUACCCAAUUCACAAGCCAGGCUUAGGUUCACCUCAAUCUUUAGUUUCUGUCUAAUGGAAAAACUAUCUGCCAACAGUGUGCUGGGAAGCACAAACUGACAUCAAGCUAUAAUUGCUCCACAGAGCUCCCACCAGUCCAGUCUUAGACUGAGACCCCUGGAUUCUGCUCCUAGAUCUUGCCACUGACAUCUCGGGGUAUCUUAGUUAAAUUUCACUGCAUCAUCUGCAAAAUUAAUAUAACAAUACUGAUUUCUUUCCUAUAUCUUUGAGUUUUACAGAAGAAAAACCCUUCAGAAGAGGCAGAAACUCUUAACCUCCAAAUAGCUUAAAACUGAACUUUACACCUGAUCCAAUUCUUGUCUGGCCUCAGAAGCAACAGAAGUUUAAAUGUAACUCUUGGAUGAUGCAGUUUCAUAGAUGCAAGGUUUUAAACAUUCUGUACAGCACUUUGAACAGUAUCACCACCCCAGUACUACACCCUUUAGAAAGGCCCUGGUGCCUUAUUCUCUUCCUUACACAUGCAUAAAUCAGAAAUAAUCUUUGUUGUAAAAUCAGUAUAUUAAUUACUGCUGUGAAAGCAGAGUCUAACCUUUUUGUAUCCUGCUGGUUUCUCUAGCUAUUAAUGUAUUACAUUGCCUGUCAGGGUUGGUAUCUAAUGCUAAGAGUGAAAUUAUUGACUAAAUCCAGCUGAAGAAAUACUCGUAACAAGUUCCUGUGGAGUGUAAAUCAUAAGGAAAUAAUCCAUGAUUUUGGAAUUAAAGUUAUUAAAGAGCAGAGAACAAAGCAUUGACCUAGUCCCUCUAGUGUGCAGUGGCUGGUUAUUUAGAGUAAUUAGCAGGAAGGCAGCUGCAGAUAUUAUAAAGGCAGUGUCUAAUCUAAUUACUUCAGCAGUAAUAGUUUGUGCACCUGACGUAACUCCUUACACUGAAGCCAACUGAAUAAUCACAUGGGGUUAUUGGACAAAAUUAGUUGCUUCUCCAUCUGGGGGACAGUCACAGGCUACGAGCCCUGCUGAGUUCUUCAAAAGAUUGAGUUAAAGAAUUUGUCUGUAGUUUGACUGCAGAUCUUCAAGGUGCACAACUCAGUUGGGACUGAUCAAAGUAAAAGGUGGCAGCAAUCUUUUCCUCAAAAAAACCCAAAGCUAGAAUGAUAGCCUAUCACAAUGUUGUAGACAGAAGCAUAAAUAAAGGUGGAAAAAAAAUAAUCUCAAAACAUUGCAGGCAGUCAGAAAUGCACACUGUGAGCAAACAUAUGGCAAUUGUGUCCAUUCCAGGAAGGAGGUGACUCAGAGGGGACCAGGUGUUUCAGCUGCUGUCACUGCACUUGCAGAGUAGCACAAGACAAAACACCUCCAUCCUCAAGAGUGGGAUUCUCUUAAAUCUGUUUCCAGCACCAGAAAUAGAAAAGUCAGAUGCCAUUCAAACACUUUUAAGGAGAAACUUCAGUAUAGAAUUAUGGUGUAAUGAUUGAGUUUUGCAUAAAUUUGAAUCUCCUGUACUUAUGGAUGUCCUUUACUUUUUCUUUUUCCAUUUAAAAUCAUUAUACUUAAAAAUCAUAACAUACUUUAGAUGUAAUAAUAUCUAAAGUAAGUGCCCUAUUCAACUCUAAUUUCAUGAUGCCCUUAAUAAACAGAAAUAAACUAAAUCUGAUGUCAGUUGAAAGCUGGUUUUGGAGGGGUUGUAUUGGCACCAAGGAGAGAAGGAAAAAAUAAAAUAGACAAGUAUGUGACAGAUCAGAAGGCACUUUUUCUGUGCUGUACCUGAAAGCAUUUGUAUUCCUUUCAGCAGUUUAGAGUACUGCUCUGUGGACUUGCGUGUCUGUGAGAAAGAGAGUGGGAUAUGUGUUAAUGUAAUCGUUCUAAAUGUGAAGUGUUAAUAAAAUGUAGAUAUACAGAAAUUGGAGCUUCUAGAAAAUGGACAAAAUAGACAUUCAAACUAUUGAACUGGAAGAUAAAAUGCAUUAGAAAGAAAAUCAAAAUGACCUCAGAGAUUUCAUCCCAUAAUGAAAUCCUGCCUAUUCAGUGCCCCAAGGGCUUGCAAAACUCUACUUUGGCCUUGACAACAGGAGAGAAAGUACCAUUCUGUAUUCAUGAGUGCUUUCUGUGGGGCACUUAUGCAGACUACUGUAUUCAUGUUAAAAAUGGCUGUUGCUGCCUCAAGAGGUAAAAGAGUCAGAAAGCACAAGAUGAAGAAGAGCAAGAUACUGCAUGAUUUGUUUGAAAGUAAUGCAGGCAGUGACAGCACUAUUAAGAUGUUAAUAUACAAUCCUGUUUCUGGGUAAAAAUGAAAGCAUUUAUCCAAGUUGAAGUAAAAGCUCUCACAUCAGUUCUUAACUGGUUUGCUAAUCCAAUAGAUAAUGUAGCGAAACCAAUUUAACUCAAUGAGGCUUCUACUGUUGGUACAACAAAACACUUAAAAUGAUUGCUCUGAUUUUAAAUACUCAGAGUCAUUAACCUAAGAAAGCACUUCCCAUUAGCAGGAAAACAGCACCCCUGCAUAUUUGUCUAUGAAGCGGAAUAGAAAACAGAAAGCUUAUUGAAAGUUACUGAGAAUAUUUUCAUUACAGAAAAAUCUGAAACGACUCCCUCAUGCCCUCUUUAUUAUAGCAGCUUAAAACACUUGCAAUGGUUGGAAGCCUAUUUGAUGUUACAAACAUCUAUAGCUAAUACUUCUUAAUGAAAACUGAAUAAAAAAUUUGGCAAUGAA